CUGCAAUCAGCACUCAUAACCUGGAAAUAAUGAGUUUUGGAAACUAGAGCUGGGAUCAGAGAUGGCAUUGAAGACACUUGUAGCCCUCCCGGUGUCCCCAGAUAGCAUGUUUUACUUUUAAGUGACAAACUAGGAAGGCGCUUCCCCAAUGCCUGGAUGUUGGUGGAAAAGAGGACCAGUUUUCUCACUGACAUUCUUCUUUUCAAUAGGAUAUUUUGUCACAGUGAUGGAAAGCUGAUUACCACAUUAUAUCAGAGUUCGCUUGAAGAACAGAUUACGCACACAUAUAAAGGAUUUACUAAGUAGGCUUACAGUGGCUGACUGCAGAACCAGGGACGGAGGAAGGCAAAAAUGCAAAAUGACCAUCUGUAUUCUGGAGAGUUGACAAUCCACUUGAAAGUCAAAAGCCUGGAGCUCACUGCAGAGUCCUGUGCAAGUCUGUGUUGAAAAGCUGAAGAGCCUGUUUUGGAAGAAGACUGAGGAGUUCAAGUUUCAAGCCAGAAGUACCUGGAGAGGAAUAUCCAAGUGAGGAAGACUGGAGCUCCUCCGAAGAAGCGAAAGGGAGGACUUCCUCCUCCUUUCCCUUGUUAUUCCAGCCAGACUGCAGGCCUAUGGCACCCGCCUACUGGGUCAGAUGUGGAAAAUACAAAAGGGCUGCUUGCAUGCUGGAAUGUUGAGUGAUCCAGUCAAAGGGGAAAGACCUGGAGCUCACUGCAGAGACCUGUUGGUAACCAGAGGGUCUGAACUGGAAGGCAGAGGAGUCUGAGAUAGGAUGCUGAAGGGUGAAUACAGACUUCCCAAGGCAAUAGUGAAGAUUGGAACUACUCUGAAGAAACCAAAGUGAGAUUUCCUUCUUCUGUCCUGUUUUCAUUCUAUUCAGAUUGUAGUCCUAUUGGUUAGUGCCACUCACACCCAGAGUGUGUCUCCCGUCUUCAGUAAAUCCGUUCAGCCACACUCAGUACUAUACUAAUCCAAUUAGGUAAGCAUUUCUUACUCAAGUUGAUACAACAGUUAGCUAUCACAAGGGACAUUGAAGAUCCAAACCAUGGCAAUUAGCUUUCUCCAACCUUGACUGAAAACUUGGUAACAUCUCAGAAGCAUGUGGCUGAUGUUUGAACCAUAUGUUAGGGUUCUCCAGAGAAACAGAAUCAACAGGACAUAUUUAUAUCUGCAUCUGUGUCUGUGUCACAUGUACAUCUACGUUUAUGUCUACAUCUCUAUCAUCUAUAUCAGUGGUGAAGAACCUGUGACAUACGUGAUGCAGCAGUCUGUUUGCUAUCAUUGAACACUCUAAAAGGUUCACUCUCAUCGGUCCAUAUCAUCUAUAUCAAAUCUAUAUCUAUCUAACAUUGGGAUUGACUCAUAUAAUUAUGGAGGUCAUGAAGUUCCCCAACCUAAUGACUAAAAGCUACAGACUAAGCAUAAUCAAUAGUAAAUUAGUUUUAGUCCAAAUGCCUGAGGAACAAACGUGCAGAGUGAGUGAGGGGAGGGCUGUGUGUAAAUCUUGGUCUGUAUCAAAAAGUCCAAGAAACAGAAACACAGAUGGCCUAGAACAAAAGUUGGGUAUCCUAGCUGAAAGAGAGCAAAGUGUCCUUUCUUUUGCUUUUUUGUCCUCUCUGGGACCUCAGUUGGUUGGAUAAUGCCACCUGCAUUGGAAUGUUGAUCUUUCCUCAGUCAGCUGAUCCAAAUGCUGAUCUCUUCUGGAAAUACCCUGUCAGACAUAUCUAGAAAUAAUAGUUUACCAGCUAUCUGGAUCUCCCUUAGUCUAGUUAAGUUAACAUAUAAAAUUAAACAUCUCAACCACUUAAUCAUGAAGAAAUAAUGUGAUGAAAUUAGUCUUCAUGGCACAUGUUAGUUUCCUACUCCUGCUGUUAACACAUUUGUUUUAUUUUACUUUUGUGGUGCUGAGGCUGAAACCCAGGGCUUUAUGCAUGCAAACAGGCAUGCACUGUACCCCUGAGCUAUACCCUUAGUCCUGCUAUUAACUCAUGAUCACAAACCUAGUUUCAAAUAACACAAAGGGAUCAUCUAACAGUUCUAGAGUCAGAAUUUGACCAAUCUCAGUGGUAUAAUCAAGGUCUCCUGAAGGCUACAUAAAUAUUUGGAGGCUCUGGAAGAGAAUACUUGCUCCUCGGUGUGUUUAGCUUCUACAGACCCUUCCUUCCUUCCUUCCUUCCUUCCUUCCCUC